AGUGAACGCUGGCGGUAGGCCUAACACAUGCAAGUCGAACGGCAGCACAGUAAGAGCUUGCUCUUACGGGUGGCGAGUGGCGGACGGGUGAGGAAUACAUCGGAAUCUACUUUUUCGUGGGGGAUAACGUAGGGAAACUUACGCUAAUACCGCAUACGACCUACGGGUGAAAGCAGGUGAUCUUCGGACCUUGCGCGAUUGAAUGAGCCGAUGUCGGAUUAGCUAGUUGGCGGGGUAAAGGCCCACCAAGGCGACGAUCCGUAGCUGGUCUGAGAGGAUGAUCAGCCACACUGGAAAUGAGACACGGUCCAGACUCCUACGGGAGGCAGCAGUGGGGAAUAUUGGACAAUGGGCGCAAGCCUGAUCCAGCCAUACCGCGUGGGUGAAGAAGGCCUUCGGGUUGUAAAGCCCUUUUGUUGGGAAAGAAAAGCAGCAGGUUAAUACCCCGCUGUUCUGACGGUACCCAAAGAAUAAGCACCGGCUAACUUCGUG
rnacentral:rRNA from 1 species